AGUAAGAUGGCUGAGAAAUAGGCAAUAGACUGUAAAUCUAUUCACGAGGAUUUAGGUUUCCUUUCUUACUA
rnacentral:tRNA from 1 species